CAGGCUUAACACAUGCAAGUCGAGGGGCAGCAUGUUCUUAGCUUGCUAAGGCCGAUGGCGACCGGCGCACGGGUGAGUAACACGUAUCCAACCUGCCGUCUACUCUUGGACAGCCUUCUGAAAGGAAGAUUAAUACAAGAUGGCAUCAUGAGUCCACAUGUUCACAUGAUUAAAGGUAUUCCGGUAGACGAUGGGGAUGCGUUCCAUUAGAUAGUAGGCGGGGUAACGGCCCACCUAGUCUUCGAUGGAUAGGGGUUCUGAGAGGAAGGUCCCCCACAUUGGAACUGAGACACGGUCCAAACUCCUACGGGAGGCAGCAGUGAGGAAUAUUGGUCAAUGGGCGAGAGCCUGAACCAGCCAAGUAGCGUGAAGGAUGACUGCCCUAUGGGUUGUAAACUUCUUUUAUAAAGGAAUAAAGUCGGGUAUGCAUACCCGUUUGCAUGUACUUUAUGAAUAAGGAUCGGCUAACUCCGUGCCAGCAGCCGCGGUAAUACGGAGGAUCCGAGCGUUAUCCGGAUUUAUUGGGUUUAAAGGGAGCGUAGAUGGAUGUUUAAGUCAGUUGUGAAAGUUUGCGGCUCAACCGUAAAAUUGCAGUUGAUACUGGAUAUCUUGAGUGCAGUUGAGGCAGGCGGAAUUCGUGGUGUAGCGGUGAAAUGCUUAGAUAUCACGAAGAACUCCGAUUGCGAAGGCAGCCUGCUAAGCUGCAACUGACAUUGAGGCUCGAAAGUGUGGGUAUCAAACAGGAUUAGAUACCCUGGUAGUCCACACGGUAAACGAUGAAUACUCGCUGUUUGCGAUAUACUGCAAGCGGCCAAGCGAAAGCGUUAAGUAUUCCACCUGGGGAGUACGCCGGCAACGGUGAAACUCAAAGGAAUUGACGGGGGCCCGCACAAGCGGAGGAACAUGUGGUUUAAUUCGAUGAUACGCGAGGAACCUUACCCGGGCUUAAAUUGCAGAUGAAUUACGGUGAAAGCCGUAAGCCGCAAGGCAUCUGUGAAGGUGCUGCAUGGUUGUCGUCAGCUCGUGCCGUGAGGUGUCGGCUUAAGUGCCAUAACGAGCGCAACCCUUGUUGUCAGUUACUAACAGGUUCCGCUGAGGACUCUGACAAGACUGCCAUCGUAAGAUGUGAGGAAGGUGGGGAUGACGUCAAAUCAGCACGGCCCUUACGUCCGGGGCUACACACGUGUUACAAUGGGGGGUACAGAGGGCCGCUACCACGCGAGUGGAUGCCAAUCCCCAAAACCUCUCUCAGUUCGGACUGGAGUCUGCAACCCGACUCCACGAAGCUGGAUUCGCUAGUAAUCGCGCAUCAGCCACGGCGCGGUGAAUACGUUCCCGGGCCUUGUACACACCGCCCGUCAAGCCAUGGGAGCCGGGGGUACCUGAAGUGCGUAACCGCGAGGAGCGCCCUAGGGUAAAACUGGUGACUGGGG
rnacentral:rRNA from 1 species